rnacentral:rRNA from 1 species
ACGCUUGGGCAGCCUACGCAUGCCAGUCGUAGGAUAGUGCGGCUACUCACUCUCAGUGGCCAACGGGAGAGUAACGCGUGAAAUAACCUGCCUUUGAAAAGGAGAUCACUGUCCGAAAAGAUAUCUAAUACCCUAUAUUGCUCUUUUGUCACUAAGGCAAAAGGUGAAAGCAAGGCUGUCAAAGGCUUCGGCUCAAAAAGGGGUUCCCGUCCUAUCAGGUAUUUGGUGGGGUAAUGGCCUACCAAGCCAAUGACGGGUACCUGGCCUUAAAGAAUAAUCACCCACAGGGGAACUGAAACACGGCCCGCACCCCUACGGGGGGCACCAUUGGGAAAUCUUGGGCAAUGGGCCCAAGCCUGACCCCCCAAUGCCCCGUGAGGAAAAAACCCCUUCGGGGUGUAAACCUCUGUCAAAUGGAAAAAUGGAACUAGGGGCUAAUACCUCCUAGUCUUGACGGUCCCACCAAAGGAAGGAACGGCUAACUACUUGCCACCACCCGCGGUAAU